rnacentral:lncRNA from 1 species
CUGGAAGGGAUGGUAGGGCUAAUAGGGAUGGUAGGGAUGGUAGAGAUGUAUGCUGGCAGGGCUGGAAUGGCUGGUAGGGAUGGUAGGGCUGGUAGGGAUGUAAUCUGGUAGGACUGGUAGGGCUGGUAGGGAUGUAUGCUGGUAGAGCUGGUAGAGAUGUUAGGGCUGGUAGGGAUGGUAGGGCUAAUAGGGAUGGUAGGCUGAUAGGGAUGGUAGGGCUAAUAGGGAUGGUAGGGCUGAUAGGGACAGUAGUGCUGGUAGAGCUUGUAUUGUUGAUUGGGCUGUUAGGGAUGGUAGGGAUGGUAGUGAUGUAUGAUGUAGGGACGGUAGGGAUGGCAUGGACGGUAGGGAUGGUAGGGAUGGUAGGGAUAGUAGGGAUGGUAGGGAUCGUAUGGAUAGUAGUGAUG